GGAUGUAAAAUUAUGAAAUGAUGCAGUGUUAGUUUAGGCUUUACCUCAUUAAGCUUGACUUGACCUGCAUACAUUAAGCUCAAUCAGUAAAUAAAUAAGUAAAACUCGAAUUACCUUUAAUAAUUUAUUAAAAUGCAGUGAUGAAGGUAACACAUUUUUUUAGUUGAAUUUACAAAAUAUGUGAAUUAAAAUAAUGAUAAGUGCUAUGAAUAAGAUAUUAAUUUGUGCAUUAUUUAGCACUUAUCACACCCUCCAACCUACAUUUUGCUAGUCCUCGAGCAAAAUAAAAAACUAACUCACUUUCGUAGGAAUCGCGAUUGCAUUUACCAUAUGCAAUAAGGCUUUAAACCCCUAGGUGGCCCUAGUGGACGAGUUUUGUCUCGUGAGGGUUUCCGGCUCAGAUACCCACAAACUGCUGUCUAAAGAAUUUAUUUUAUUGUUUUAUAAAAUCUAAUUUCAAAUGCAUUGAUGCCAAUAAUUUCAAAAGCACACAAAGUUUAAUUACUAAGUCAGCCCAAAUCCUAUGUCAGUAUGCAACUUAAGUUGAAGUCGUUAAGUUUCCGUUAGGGAGUUGUAAGACUUUUUAUACUUGGGUGCUCGGUGAUAUCUGGACCAUACACAAGCUAAGACUUUAGAUUCCCCAAAAUACUGCUAAAACUAGUAGUUUCCAAGAAUUGAUCAGAUAAGACCUAAUCACUGAUUCAAAAUCAUUCUAUCUUGCAGGAUUUCGAGAGUUGUGGAUGUUUACUUUAAUACCUCAUGGGCUUUAUCUGUAAUAUUCCAGUUUACUUGAAUUUUUACAACGACGGCUUUUACAUUAUUGUCUUUUUCAAGGUCAAUAUUAUUUUCUCUUUCUCUAUUUUUUUACUUUGUAUAAAUUACGCACUUUUACUCUUGUAAUGAUUCCUCCGUGUAGCGAGCAUUCAGUCAACACUCCCACACCAGAUGGCAUAAGGUGUUGGGCAUCAAGACUCCCCUACGGACCUAUGCUCGGGUUUCUCAUACAAGCCCGCUGACCUUUGACAAUAGAUAGCCCUUUUCGAUGUACCUGACUAAAUUCACCUCUUUUUUCUUUUUUUUUUUUAAAAAAAA
rnacentral:lncRNA from 1 species